UACGUAGGGACCAAGCGUUGUUCGGAUUUACUGGGCGUAAAGGGUGCGUAGGCGGGUCUUUAAGUCUGAUGUGAAAGCCCACGGCUCAACCGUGGAGGGUCAUUGGAAACUGGGGGACUUGAGUGCAGGAGAGAAGAGUGGAAUUCCACGUGUAGCGGUGAAAUGCGUAGAGAUGUGGAGGAACACCAGUGGCGAAGGCGACUCUUUGGCCUGUAACUGACGCUGAGGCGCGAAAGCGUGGGGAGCAAACAGG
rnacentral:rRNA from 1 species